AGGAGAUUAUUUUUUGUUCUCUUUUCCUUUCCUUUCUUUUCUUCUUCUCCGGCGUCUCUCUCGCUCUCACCUUUCUCACCUUCUCUCUUCGAUUUCAUCGACCACGAGUGAGACUUUUGAAAAAUCCCAAGUACUAAAGUUGUUCUACGCGACGAGAGCUUCCUAUCCAUCGAAAAAAAUUCACGAUCGGAGCACUUCGAAGUUUCCUCCAUGUUCGGGCUUGCUUCUAACCCUCGAGGUACUCGCCAUGGCACUUAGCUUGGAUUGCAUGGAGUGCACAUUGAGACGUCUCUUGAGAGCUUCAUUGGUAUCAUAAAGGAAGUGUUUAUCAUCUAGUCUAAUUCAUGUUGUGUACUUUACUCGCAAUGGAAAGUUGUACCUUUUGAUUAGAAUAUAUGUAAAGCUAUGUGUAAAUUCCUCUCCUUGAUCAUUAUGGAACUCAUUUAAUUGUAAACGUUUGGGAGACUUUAUGUAAAAAAAAAAAAAAUAUUUAGAGAGAAGAAGAAGAGACUUUGAUUCUUUA